rnacentral:rRNA from 1 species
CACCGCGGUUAUACGAAAGGCCCAAGUUGAAAAACAUUCGGCGUAAAGGGUGGCUAAGGACCUAUUUUAAACUAGAGCUGAAUUUCUUCAAAGCUGUUAUACGCUCAUGAAAACUAGAAAAUCAACCACGAAAGUGGCUCUAACCUCUCCUGACACCACGAAAGCUAUGACA